rnacentral:snRNA from 1 species
AGCAGGGUGUUGGACACAGUAUCGAAUAAUACUCUCGCCUUUUACUAGAGUAAUCCGUGUAUCCGUCACAGACCUGCGUUCGAAUUUCUUUCUCAACUCACAUCAUGAGUCUA